rnacentral:misc_RNA from 1 species
UGAGAUUCGAGAUCCUUUUAAAAGAAGCCGUGUUUGGCUUGGUACUUACGAUACUGCAGAAGAAGCUUCUCAAGCUUAUGAAUCGAGGAGAUUACAGUUUGAAGCUAUGGCGGCGGAAAUGGCUGUUGAAGAAGAAGGCAAGAGGACUGGUUCCUCAUCUUCCCCUGUUUUUUCGGAAAGUACGGCGGAAACCACUGUGUCUCAUACAUCGCCGUCGUCGGUUCUUGAAUGGGACGAUUCAACUUUGCGAAGCCAUGAUUUGAAAGAGGGAUCAGAUUCAAUCAAAGAAGA